UACGGGGGGAGCAAGCGUUGUUCGGAUUUACUGGGCGUAAAGGGCGCGUAGGCGGCGUGGUAAGUCACUUGUGAAAUCUCCGGGCUUAACUCGGAACGGUCAAGUGAUACUGCUGUGCUAGAGUGCAGAAGGGGCAACUGGAAUUCUCGGUGUAGCGGUGAAAUGCGUAGAUAUCGAGAGGAACACCUGCGGCGAAGGCGGGUUGCUGGGCUGACACUGACGCUGAGGCGCGAAAGCUAGGGGAGCGAACGGG
rnacentral:rRNA from 1 species